AUUGAACGCUAGCGGGAUGCCUUACACAUGCAAGUCGAACGGAGUGGCGAACGGGUGAGUAAUGUAGCGGAACGAGCCCAGUGGCGGGGGAUCAAUACGCGAAAGCGUAGAUAAUCCCGCAUAAUAUAGGAGCGGCCGAUAUCGUAUGAGCUAGUUGGUGGGGUACUGGCUCACCAAGGCGACGAGCCGUAGCUGGUUUGAGAGCACGACCAGCCACACUGGGACUGAGACACGGCCCAGACUCCUACGGGAGGCAGCAGUGGGGAAUUUUGGGCAAUGGGGGAAACCCUGAUCCAACCAUCCCGCGUGUGCGAUGAAGGCCUUCGGGUGGUAAAGCACUUGUGGCAGGAAAGCGGUACCUGCAGAAUAAGCACCGGCUAACUACGUGCCAGCAGCCGCGGUAAUAC
rnacentral:rRNA from 1 species